UACGUAGGGUGCGAGCGUUAAUCGGAAUUACUGGGCGUAAAGCGUGCGCAGGCGGUGAUGUAAGACCGAUGUGAAAUCCCCGGGCUUAACCUGGGAACUGCAUUGGUGACUGCAUCGCUGGAGUAUGGCAGAGGGGGGUGGAAUUCCACGUGUAGCAGUGAAAUGCGUAGAGAUGUGGAGGAACACCGAUGGCGAAGGCAGCCCCCUGGGCCAAUACUGACGCUCAUGCACGAAAGCGUGGGGAGCAAACAGG
rnacentral:rRNA from 1 species